GCCAGGCAUGGUGGCGCAUGACUGUAAUCCCAGCUACUGGGAAGGCUGGGGCAGGAGGAUGGCGACCAGGUUGGAGGCCAGCCUUGUCAACUUAGUGAGACCCUGUCUCAA
rnacentral:sRNA from 1 species